CGACCUCAGAGCAGGCGAGGCUACCCGCUGAAUUUAAGCAUAU
rnacentral:rRNA from 1 species